rnacentral:rRNA from 1 species
UACAGAGGUCUCAAGCGUUGUUCGGAUUCAUUGGGCGUAAAGGGUGUGUAGGUGGCGCCGUAAGUCGGGGUGUGAAAUCUCGGGGCUUAACUCCGAAACUGCAUUCGAUACUGCGGUGCUUGAGGACUGGAGAGGAGACUGGAAUUCAUGGUGUAGCAGUGAAAUGCGUAGAGAUCAUGAGGAAGACCAGUGGCGAAGGCGGGUCUCUGGGACAGUUCCUGACACUGAGACACGAAGGCCAGGGGAGCAAACGGG